AUGCCUGUACCAUAACCGACACAGGUGGGUAAGUAGAGUAUACUAAGGGGCGCGAGAUAACUCUCUCUAAGGAACUCGGCAAAAUAACUCCGUAACUUCGGGAGAAGGAGUGCCUUAUUCUUAAGGUUGCAAUAACAAGAUCCAAGCAACUGUUUAUCAAAAACACAGGUCUCCGCUAAGUCGUAAGACGAUGUAUGGGGGCUGACGCCUGCCCAGUGCCAGAAGGUUAAAGAAGUCGGUUAGCAAUAGCAAAGCUGGUAACUGAAGCCCUGGUGAACGGCGGCCGUAACAAUAACGGUCCUAAGGUAGCGAAAUUCCUUGUCGGGUAAGUUCCGACCCGCACGAAAGGCGUAAUGAUUUGGAUGCUGUCUCGGAGAGGGGCUCGGUGAAAUAGACUUGUCUGUGAAGAUGCGGACUACCUGCACCAGGACAGAAAGACCCUAUGAAGCUUUACUGUAACUUGAAAUUGAAAUUGGACUUUAUUCGCGCAGUAUAGGUGGGAGGCGUUGAUUAUAAUCUUGUGGGAUUAUUGGAGCCAUCAGUGAGAUACCACUCUUGUAAUGUUAGAUUUCUAACUUUGAAUCAUUAUCUGGUCAAAGGACAGUUUCAGGCGGGCAGUUUGACUGGGGCGGUCGCCUCCUAAGCGGUAACGGAGGCGUACAAAGGUUUCCUCUGAACGGUUAGAAAUCGUAUCUAGAGUGUAAAGGCAUAAGGAAGCUUGACUGUGAGACCUACAAGUCGAGCAGGGACGAAAGUCGGUCUUAGUGAUCUGACGGUACUGAGUGGAAAGGCCGUCACUCAACGGAUAAAAGUUACUCUAGGAUAACAGGCUGAUCUCCCCCAAGAGUUCACAUCGACGGGGAGGUUUGGCACCUCGAUGUCGGCUCAUCGCAUCCUGGGGCGGUAGUACGUCCCAAGGGUUGGGCUGUUCGCCCAUGAAAGCGGUACGCGAGCUGGGUUCAGAACGUCGUGAGACAGUUCGGUCCAUAUCCGGUGUAGGCGCUAGAAUAUUGAGAGGAGCCUUCUUUAGUACGAGAGGACCGAGAAGGACAUACCUCUGGUGUACCAGUUAUCGUGCCAACGGUAAACGCUGGGUAGCUAUGUAUGGAGUGGAUAACCGCUGAAAGCAUCUAAGUGGGAAGCCCACCUCAAGAUAAGUAUUCUCAUCACGUAAGUGAGUAAGGUCACGGUAAGACUAACCGUUUGAUAGGCAUUAAGUGUAAGUACAGUAAUGUAUGUGCUGAGAUGUCCUAAUAGACCGAGGACUU
rnacentral:rRNA from 1 species